CCCUUAGAUGUCCUGGGCUGCACGCGCGCUACACUGACGAACUCAACGAGCUUAUCACCUUGGCAGAGAUGUCUGGGUAAUCUUUUGAAAGUUCGUCGUGCUGGGGAUAGAUGAUUGUAAUUAUUCGUCUUGAACGAGGAAUUCCUAGCAAGUGUGAGUCAUCAGCUCGCGCUGAUUACGUCCCUGCCCUUUGUACACACCGCCCGUCGCUCCUACCGAUUGAAUGGUCCGGUGAGGUUCUCGGAUUUUUUCUGUUGUUUGGUUCGCUAAACGAUUGAAGAGAGAAGUUACCCAAACCUUACCAUUUAGAGGAAGGAGAAGUCGUAACA
rnacentral:rRNA from 1 species